AGGAGCCGUGCGAGAUGAAAGUCUCAUGCACGGUUUUGCAUGAGAGAAAGAAGCGAUGAAUCCUCUACUUGUAAU
rfam:Triticum aestivum genome assembly, contig: Triticum_aestivum_CS42_TGACv1_scaffold_456520_5DS